UUACACCUUAUAUAAGAAAGCAAGAUUUUGAUUGGUUGAUAGCCAGUGUAUUUUUCGCAUAUUCUAAUAUGUUUUCCUCAUUUCAAACGAAUUUGCCUGUUUUUUCACCACUGCCGGUGAAUUUGCCUCAAAUACCAUGGUAUUUGCCAUUUUGGAUAUUCCUUUUUUACCCUCGCGAGCAGCUUCCCGCCAAAAGAUUUCGGAUAUGACGUUACAUAAUGAAAGCGAGCUAACGCGUAUUAGAACAUGUAUAAUUCCCGCGGUUCUAUGAUAAUAUCCACUUAUACCCUAAAUUAUGCAUAAACAUGUUUAUGAAUUGCAGCUUGAUAGUAUUUAUCUGCACAUGUACAGAGAGUUUCAAUCCAAAUCUAUUCGGUGUAAUUAAACAGAUAUAUCAUGUUAUGGAGGGGUAUUUGCGAAAAAUACCAGUCUUGGGACAGAAUUUCCCUCGCCUGGCGGCUCG
rnacentral:lncRNA from 1 species